GGAAAGAGGGUUCCCAUAAAGAGUAGCAUGAGGUUGCUACAAAUUACCCCUCCCUCAGCCUGAUCCCCCAGCUGAUACAGAGCUUUGGUAUUUGGUAGCUUUUCACCCAAAGUUGGAGAGUUCUGAAAUGAUGUAAGGGGACUAGAGAUGCACAAGUUGUUUCUAGCAGCUGCAGCCCAGGUUUGGGUUUCUCUUGCAUCCAUCUCUUACUUCUUCACUGCCCACAGAAGGGAAGAGAGAAAUCAGGAGCCAAACCCUUUGGAUCGGGGCCUGCUUUGUGACCUGGGGUACAAUCUAUGUCUGCUACUGAAGCUAUCUUGACUGGCAUGAGAAAUGUAAGAAUUUUGAAGAAACUUGGCCUGACAAAUAUCUGUUUGCACAUUUGGAUUUAUGAAAACUUCUGAUCACUCUGUGUCAUGGUCCCCUUCUGUAACAUAACAGGCAUGAAGCUGCACUGUUCAGAAGAAGCAAGAUUCUUUCCUCACAGCUACGGCACUGCGACACAGCCUGCUUUUUCGCAUUUACCUGGGUGGCUGCUGCUGGUUCUGCUGCUGCUGCUGCAGCCUCGCUGCCUGCGCUUCACCCCAGCUUGGCUGAUGCGAGCCUCCCUCGUCUGCACAUUGCUAAGGAAGAGAAGCGAUGGAGCCGCAAUUUUUUUGUUGGUUCUGGAAGCAAAGGGUUGUGAUGUGGGGUUGUUUGGGGGUUUUCUUUUUUUUUUUUUUUUUUGGUGGGGAGAGAAAGGAGGGAUGUUAAUCUAGGGUGGAGUGGGUAAAAGCUUAAAGAAAUAUGAUGAAAAGUAAUCCAGUGCUCAACAAGGGCAUCAGCAGCAAGAAUCCAGCCUCUGCUGCUCCAGAGGAUUAAGAUGGGGAAAGCCACAGAACUGCAGUCGAGUUGCACCUCAGCGUUGUUCUGGAGAUGGAUAAACAAGGACAUGAUGUGGCCUGCUGCUACUUUCUGCUUGCCUGAUUGCCUGCUAAAGUCCAUUCCUCUUGGCACUGCUUACACCAGCUCCAGCUGCUCCACGUUGCUUUACAGUAUCAACAUCUACCUCCUCAAAUUUGGAAGACUGGUCACCCUUUGUAGUACUGCUGUGUGGAUGAAUCUUAAUCUUCUUGAAAGUAGGAUAUUAAAGAUGAGAUAAGCCCUG
rnacentral:lncRNA from 7 species